UACGUAGGGGGCAAGCGUUGUCCGGAUUUAUUGGGCGUAAAGAGCGUGUAGGCGGUUCGGUAGGUCCGUUGUGAAAACUCGAGGCUCAACCUCGAGACGCCGAUGGAAACCCCCGAACUAGAGUCCGGAAGAGGAGAGUGGAAUUCCUGGUGUAGCGGUGGAAUGCGCAGAUAUCAGGAGGAACACCGAUGGCGAAGGCAGCUCGCUGGGACGGUACUGACGCUGAGGCGCGAAAGCGUGGGGAGCGAACAGG
rnacentral:rRNA from 1 species